CGACCGUUGGCACCAGGGGCGAACAGCCGAAACUGCUCCGGGAUACAAUAUUGCUCCCGGAGCCGAUCGACGUUCGGCCCCGAAAGUGAAGAAACCUCCACCUCCGGGGUCGACCGAGGGUCGUCAGUCGGCUCUCCCGACCGACCGCCUCGUGGAGAUGUUUUGGCCAUGGACUGAAACAAAUGACAGGAAAUGAAGAAGGAGGAGACGGUGAAGACGAUGAUGGCCCUCAGAAGAGGAAGAGGGAACUCCUAAGAAGAAAGGAAGCGGAGAAGAGUACCUGGGAUGAGGGAUUACGCGGGCAGAUCUCGACAGCAAAGUGUGGAGAGGGUAAAAAUUUGGGUAUGGGCGACCCUGUAUAUAUAGUACCCCCGACGGUCGAGAUGAAGGCACGACCAACGAGGGACUCCCAGAUCGCGCCAUGUGGCAUCAUCCGGGCCGUCUGUCGGCCCGACGGUUCGACGCACCCAUCCUCAGAUCGAGCCACGUCACCUCAAUCC
rnacentral:lncRNA from 1 species